ensembl:lncRNA
CAUCAGCAUGUGCAAGAUGUGCAAUGCCCCCCUUGUACCCCCCAAAAUUCAAAAUGUCUUGUUCAUUUAUUAACUAACCUACUGUGCGCUGCUGCAAAUCUGCACUGCUCUUCAAUAGAAGAGGCAGUCGUCUGAUCGUUGAUGAGGUGCAACGGUUUGACUUUGAGGAAACUGACAAGGAUUUUCUGAUGCACUUUGAAGAUUACCCUGCCGUCUCUCAGUACUUGAAGCUGUAUUGGUAGAGGAUUGGCCGAACACAGGCAGAUUUUGGACGUUGCUACAAGCAUGGGGAUUCUGACACCAACAAUUUGGUUGAACGGGACUCCUGAGAAAACCAGCAAACCAGGCUGUCGUCUUGUGAAACAGUGGCUGUAAAGAACCUAGCUGGCUAAAGUAUUUACUGAAAUUGAAUGUACAAUUGUGUAAGCUUGCUUUGCAAUGCAGCUGAAGUAACAUAGCUAGCUAACUAUUUACUUGAUUAUUGUGUAGUGGAGGAUAAAAAUAACUGUAUGCCUAUGGAUGUGUAGCUAGCUACAGUUUGUAGCCGAUCUGUGUAUGGACCCUAAAACGUUAGGUUCUGAACUAAUAUUCAUACCAAUCUAUGAACCUCAGCAAUAUUAGUUCUUGGAGUCAACUUCAAGUCUGAAUGGCGUUAAUGAAGCCUAUGGAUAGAGUAGAAUAUAAUAACUUUAUUGUGCCAAGGAUGCAAGUCCUAUAUACACACGUACUGUAGUUAUUACCAAGCAUGAGAUUCUCACAUUGUAGCUUGUACACUUAAUAUAUUCACUGAUCAUGUACUCUUCCUUGGCAAAUAAAGGUGCGGUUCAGGUAUGAAUCUCUGAGACAUU